CCUACGGGUGGCAGCAGUGGGGAAUAUUGGGCAAUGGACGCAAGUCUGACCCAGCAACGCCGCGUGAAGGAAGAAGGCUUUCGGGUUGUUAACUUCUUUUAAGGGGGAAGAGCAGAAGACGGUACCUCUUGAAUAAGCCACGGCUAACUACGUGUCAGCAGCCGCGGUAAUACGUAGGUGGCAAGCGUUGUCCGGAUUUACUGGGUGUAAAGGGCGUGCAGCCGGGCCGACAAGUCAGAUGUGAAAUCUGCGGGCUUAACCCGCGAACUGCAUUUGAAACUAUUGGUCUUGAGUACCGGAGAGGUCAUCGGAAUUCCUUGUGUAGCGGUGAAAUGCGUAGAUAUAAGGAAGAACACCAGUGGCGAAGGCGGAUGACUGGACGGCAACUGACGGUGAGGCGCGAAAGCGUGGGGAGCAAACAGGAUUAGAUACCCGUGUAGUC
rnacentral:rRNA from 1 species